UCUUCUACCUUCCAAGUUGGAAAACAUGGAGGAACCUGUAGUUAAAGAAAACAAAAUGGAGAGAAGUCACCCUAAUGGGAAGCUAUUCUGAACCAGGACAUGAAAAUGGAGGAGUUCAAUAAUAAUUGAGGCCAGGAGAUUAUCAUUCACUACCAGGAUAUCACCAAGACAAAAAUUCUUGGAAUACCACACUCAUCUCCAUACAUCAUCAUAUCAUGGUAGAAAGGUAUUUCAAUAAGACUAAUUGAUAUUAAGUUUAGUUUAGUUUUUUAUGUAUAUUAAAAAAACAUACAAAAAUGUAUAGGCCCAUUACAGAGAGAGGUAUAAAUGGAAACUGUUUGCGUUUUAGAUGGGAUAAGUUUGAAAUUAUUGAUCCUAUAUUGAUAUUUCAAAGCUUGAAACCAAUUGUACUUGAUAUAUGUUUAAGAGAAGCUGAAAAAUUUAAUUAUAAUAUAAAAUGGUAUGUUGCUCUCAAAUUAAAGCUAAAGAAAUUAGUUGCAGAUCAUGAAAUGGAUACUACACCAACAUUUCAUGGGAUAGCACGAACAAUUCUACAAAUUCAAGAUAACAUAAAUGAGUUUAGUGUUCAAUGGGAUGAAGCAGAAGGUAUUAUAUGGAAUAAAAUAGAUAAAUUCAUACAAUAUGGUAGUGGUUGGGUGAUUAAUUCAAUUGAAUGUUUUGAUUUGAAUAUUGUUUGCUACAAACCAAUAUA